GGAAGGCUACAAGCUUGAAAUAAAGGAGAAAAGUUCACAAUUUUCAAUUUUACAAAGUUGGAACGGGCCGCAACCUUUGUAAAUCGCAACAAUAAUAUUCGCAAACUGCUGUUUACUUGGGUGCUUUUUUACGGCUGUUGAUGCAAAUAAUCCUGUUACGGAUAGGUGGUCAAAAGAACAUGGUGUAGCGUAACAAGACCGAAAUACAACCACAGUGAUCACCAUUCAUCACUACUUCACUACUUGUGUGAAAUUUAAACUUUGCCGCUACGUGUCAGGCUUUUAAAUCUGUAAUAUUUCAGUCAUUUUAUGAUCAAUGUAUUGUGUUUCUAACGCCGAACGGGAAAAUGUUGGAGCCACAGUAAUAGACUCUUUCAAGGUCAAGAUGCCAUAAUGAAACACAAAGUGUAAGGGCUGCAAACACAAUGGAAAUUCCUACUAGUAAAUUUGCAAGAUUGUAUAAACACAAUGGUGAAAACAAUAAAGCCUGCUACUGAAAUAAAGCCUGCUACUGAGGUCAGUAAAAAGGAUUGAUGCACAUGAUUCGUACGCAAAAUUCCCAUUGGUCAGAAAUAAAUACAGUAGCUUUGUUUUUAAGGUAAUACCAAAUUGUUGUUUAUGUAAUAAUAUUCCGUGCUUGUAAUUGUACUUUAACUACUUUUGGGCAUGUUAAUGACUGCCUUUGCUGCAGUCAAUAACAGUUAUUAUUAUUAUUAUUAUUAUUUAAUAUGUAAUUCCUGGCCAUUCGAUGAAAAUUGGAAUAUUUAGUUUUGAGAUAUUGGUGAAAAAGUUGGCCGUUAUUGUCAUAUUUUAAAUUAGCUUUGAUAAUCUAAUGUAUCAAUUAAUUCCAGCAGUUCCCACCCCUGGGCCUUUGCAGCUUUUCCUAAUAACGGGGGUGGGGCUAUUGCCGAUAUUUUUUAGCCCUGGGGUGAGGAUUUUGACAUUUUCCAUCAUGGGGGAUUUCGUAGAUUUGCUGGAAAACUGAUAUUUAAUUUGAUUGCAAAUGGCUUGUGGACAUAGCCAUUUUCUUCCCAGAAAUGGCUAAUACCUCGGGGGGAUGGGCACUGCUGGAAUUGACUGAUACAUAAUUAACAAUCGCCAUUUUGAUUGGUUGUUAUUUUUGUGCAUCCCAAUCACUGUCCACUUUUUAUUGACUUCAGUGACAGGCUUACCCUGCGAGCAAAGUCCUCUCGUAUUUCUUCUCAGCACAAGAGAUACUCUGCAGCACUUGUGUAUAUUCUUUGUGGAGCCAACAAUCCAAAAACUUGGAUAAUUAUGAGUAAUUUCAGGUUUGAUACCAGUUUUAUAGCCGGUUUUGAUCCGAACCGGAAACUACUUAUUAAAUCUUCUUCUGGGAAAUAGGCAGUUGCUUAGCAACCUUUGCGCAUGCUCAAAUGAAUUUAUACACAAGUUCUGCAGAGACUCUCUCGCUUCUCCGUGCCGUGAAGAAAUACGAGAGGACUUUGCUUACAAGUUAUAACAAGCUCUAUUUCAAGCAUCGAGCCUGACACGCAAGCUACCUUCAAAGGGCCUAUUUGGCAACUUUUGUUGUGGUUACCCAGCCUGAGGCAAACGUAAUAAAUUAUGAAUUGUUAUAAAUGUUCUGUGAAGGGCACAAAUAUUUCCUGCAGUUAGGGACCAGUCCUUAUUUAUGAAAGAGGGAGGGGGAGGGGGCAAAAGGUGGGGCCAUGACCCCACAAGUAUAAAUCAUUUACUAGAAGGGGGGGGGCAUUAAAUUUUUUGAGAAAAUCAGUUGAAGGGUCAAAAUGUGGAGUUGCAAUAAAUUUAUUUAAGCCUGGUU
rnacentral:lncRNA from 1 species